UACGUAGGUGGCAAGCGUUGUCCGGAUUUACUGGGCGUAAAGGGCGCGUAGGCGGUUCUUUAAGUGGUAUGUGAAAUACUCGGGCUCAACCUGGGGGUUGCAUUUCAAACUGGAGAUCUUGAGUACAGGAGGGGAGAGUGGAAUUCCUAGUGUAGCGGUGAAAUGCGUAGAGAUUAGGAAGAACACCAGUGGCGAAGGCGACUCUCUGGACUGUAACUGACGCUGAGGC
rnacentral:rRNA from 1 species